AUGGAAUUGGGGCAGCUCUGGCUGUUUCAGNACGGCGCUGCACGCGGCGCUGCGCAAGGAGCAGAUGAAGGUGGAGUCCCUGGAGAGAACCCUGCAGCAGAAGAACCAGGAGAUCGAGGAGCUGACCAAGAUCUGCGACGAGCUGAUAGCGAAACUGGGAAAGUCAGACUGAGCCUCAGCACCCCCUCCUCACCCAGCACUCUGCACUUGGCUGCUUCUCUCGUGACCUUGAGCACCUUGCCUUACCCUGGGCUCCCUGCAGGAAAGCUCCCGUGUCCAGCUGCCCCUUGGCUGCCAGACCUGUGGCUCCUGAGCAGGGCUGCUCCCCUCUCUGUGUCUGUCUGCUUCCCACAGCUCCAGGCUGGGAUCCCUGCAGGCAGCCUGGGAAUCAUCCUGGGCUCAGCUUGGGAAUCAUCCUGGGCUCAGCCUGGGCCUGUGUGUCCCUCUCUGGGCCUGUGUGUCCCUCUCUGGGCCUGUGUGUCCCUCCCAGGGUGUGCUGCCCUGUCCCUCUGCACCUCUCAGGUGGGAGGUGACACCCUGGGCUCUGUCCCCCGUGGCUGGGCUGUGUCCCCACUGCACUCUCUGUCCCUGAUUGUCCCCAUGGCUCAGCAGAGCAGGUCCAGCCACUGGUGGGUCCUGCCCUGGGACAUGGGGGGUGGUGGGGGGGACCUGCUGGCUCCUGCACUGGGUUUGGCUGGUCUCUGGUUGGUGGGGGAAGCACAGCACAGCCUCUCCCUGCCCCUGGCUGUGCCAGCCUCAGAGGAAGGGAGCUGA
rnacentral:lncRNA from 1 species